GUGCUUAACACAUGCAAGUCGUACGAGAACACUCUAGCUUGCUAGGGUAAGUAAAGUGGCGCACGGGUGAGUAACGCGUGGGUAAUCUACCUUCGAAUUGGGGAUAACGUUGCGAAAGCGACGCUAAUACCGAAUAACAUCCAUUAAUCUUCGGGUUUUUGGAUCAAGGGUGGCCUCUACAUGUAAGCUACUGUUUGAAGAUGAGCCCGCGUACCAUUAGCUUGUUGGUGGGGUAAAGGCCUACCAAGGCUUCGAUGGUUAGCUGGUCUGAGAGGAUGAUCAGCCACACUGGAACUGACACACGGUCCAGACUCCUACGGGAGGCAGCAGUGAGGAAUUUUGCGCAAUGGGGGAAACCCUGACGCAGCAACGCCGCGUGAGUGAUGAAGGCUUUCGGGUCGUAAAGCUCUGUCAAGUGGGAAGAACCUGCAGUAUGCUAAUAUCAUAUUGCACUGACGGUACCACUGAAGGAAGCACCGGCUAACUCCGUGCCAGCAGCCGCGGUAAUACGGGGGGUGCAAGCGUUAUUCGGAAUCAUUGGGCGUAAAGAGCACGUAGGCGGCCUGGUAAGUCAGAUGUGAAAGCCCGGGGCUUAACCCCGGAAGUGCAUUUGAUACUGUCAGGCUUGAGUAUGGGAGAGGGAAGU
rnacentral:rRNA from 1 species